rnacentral:rRNA from 1 species
GGAGUAUGGGCCGUUCUCAGUCCCAUUGUGGCUGUUCAACCUCUCAGUCCAGCUAUGCAUCAUCGCCUUGGUAGGCCGUUACCUUACCAACUAGCUAAUGCACCGCAGGCCCCUCAUACACCAUCACUUUUAAACAAAAAGUCAUGCGACUUCUUGUCCUAUCUAGUAUUAUCCGUCGUUUCCAACGGUUAUCCUCGAGUGUAAGGCAGGUUACCUACGUGUUACUCACCCGUUCGCCAUGAGAAGCAAGCUUCUCAUUCGACUUGCAUGUAUUAGGCAUGCCGCCAGCGUUAAUC